CCUACGGGUGGCAGCAGUCGAGAAUCAUUCACAAUGGGGGAAACCCUGAUGGUGCGACGCCGCGUGGGGGAAUGAAGGUCUUCGGAUUGUAAACCCCUGUCAUGUGGGAGCAAAUUAAAAAGAUAGUACCACAAGAGGAAGAGACGGCUAACUAUGUGCCAGCAGCCGCGGUACUACAGAGGUCGCAAGCGUUGUUCGGAAUCACUGGGCGUAAAGCGUGCGUAGGCUGUGUCGUAAGUCGGGUGUGAAAGGCGCGGGCUCAACCCGCGGACGGCACAUGAUACUGCGAGACUAGAGUAAUGGAGGGGGAACCGGAAUUCUCGGUGUAGCAGUGAAAUGCGUAGAUAUCGAGAGGAACACUCGUGGCGAAGGCGGGUUCCUGGACAUUAACUGACGCUGAGGCACGAAGGCCAGGGGAGCGAAAGGGAUUAGAUACCCGAGUAGUC
rnacentral:rRNA from 1 species